rnacentral:rRNA from 1 species
UGGGGGAUAUUGCACAAUGGGCGAAAGCCUGAUGCAGCGACGCCGCGUGGGGGAUGAAGGCUUUCGGGUUGUAAACCUCUUUCGCUAUCGAACAAGGCCCGCUUAGGGUGGGUUGAGGGUAGGUGGAGAAGAAGCGCCGGCUAACUACGUGCCAGCAGCCGCGGUAAUACGUAGGGCGCGAGCGUUGUCCGGAAUUAUUGGGCGUAAAGGGCUUGUAGGCGGCUUGUUGCGCCUGCUGUGAAAACGCGGGGCUUAACUUCGGGCGUGCAGUGGGUACGGGCAGGCUUGAGUGUGGUAGGGGUGACUGGAAUUCCAGGUGUAGCGGUGGAAUGCGCAGAUAUCUGGAGGAACACCGAUGGCGAAGGCAGGUCACUGGGCCAUUACUGACGCUGAGGAGCGAAAGCAUGGGUAGCGAACAGG